rnacentral:rRNA from 1 species
UACGUAGGGGGCAAGCGUUGUCCGGAAUCAUUGGGCGUAAAGCGCGUGUAGGCGGCCAGGUAAGUCCGUUCUGAAAGCCCGGGGCUCAACCCCGGGAGGCGGGUGGAUACUGCUUGGCUCGAGUCCGGAAGAGGCGAGUGGAAUUCCCGGUGUAGCGGUGAAAUGCGCAGAUAUCGGGAGGAACACCAAUGGCGAAGGCAGCUCGCUGGGACGGUACUGACGCUGAGACGCGAAAGCGUGGGGAGCAAACAGG